GCCUCCAUAGCUCAGCGGUUAGAGCACGGUCUUGUAAACCAGGGGUCGAGAGUUCGAAUCUCUCUGGGGGCU
rnacentral:tRNA from 1 species